rnacentral:rRNA from 1 species
CCUACGGGUGGCAGCAGUGGGGAAUAUUGCGCAAUGGGCGAAAGCCUGACGCAGCGACGCCGCGUGAGGGAUGAAGGUCUUCGGAUCGUAAACCUCUGUCAGCAGGGAAGAACGGUCACUGUGCUAAUCAGCAGUGCAUUGACGGUACCUGCAACGGAAGCACCGGCUAACCCCGUGCCAGCAUCCGCGGUAAUACGGAGGGUGCGAGCGGUAAUCGGAAUUACUGGGCGGAAAGCGCUCGUAUGCGGUAGGUCAAGUCAAGGGUGAAAUCCCCGCGCUCAACGUGGGAACUGCCUUUGAAACUGGCAAACUGGAGUGUGUGAGAGGAUAGUGGAAUUCCAGGUGUAGGAGUGAAAUCCGUAGAUAUCUGGAGGAACAUCAGUGGCGAAGGCGACUAUCUGGCACAUAACUGACGCUGAGGAGCGAAAGCGUGGGUAGCAAACAGGAUUAGAUACCCCUGUAGUC